rnacentral:rRNA from 1 species
UAAGACGAAGGUGGCAACCGUUGCUCGGAUUCACUGGGCAUAAAGCGCGCGUAGGUGGCUAGGCAGGUCACUGGUGAAAUCCCACGGCUCAACCGUGGACCCGCCAGUGAAACCGCCUUGCUUGAGGACGAGAGGGGAGAAUGGAACUCUUGGUGUAGCGGUGAAAUGCGUAGAUAUCAAGAGGAACGCCGGUGGCGAAAGCGAUUCUCUGGAUCGUUCCUGACACUGAGGCGCGAAAGCUAGGGGAGCAAACAGGAUUAGAUACCCUGGUAGUCCUAGCUGUAAACGAUGAGCACUGGGUAGAGGUGGUAGCUGAUGCCUCCUCUGCCGUAGCUAAUGUGUUAAGUGCUCCGCCUGGGGAGUAUGGUCGCAAGGCUA